rnacentral:misc_RNA from 1 species
GUGAGUCAUCGAAUCUUUGAACGCACCUUGCGCUCUUUGGCCAUUCCAAGGAGCAUGCCUGUUUGAGUGUCAUUGAAUCCUCAAGGCCCCCUUUUCCUGCCCUUCCUUUUCAAGCUUGGGCUUUAGGGGACUUGGACUUUGGGAGUGCUGCGGUGCCGGGCUUUCUCCGGCUCCGCUCUCCUCAAAUGCAUCAGUAGGGCCCCUCAUCCCUUUCGGGUCUUUGCGGCGUUGAUAGUUGUCCACGCCUCUGCCCGUUGGGUCUCACCCUGCUCCCUCAACCCCCCCCUCACGUUUUUCUUU